rnacentral:rRNA from 1 species
AGGAUCCAAGCGUUAUCCGGAUUUAUUGGGUUUAAAGGGUGCGUAGGCGGCACGCUAAGUCAGGGGUGAAAUACGGUGGCUCAACCAUCGCAGUGCCUUUGAUACUGGUGUGCUUGAAUGCGGAUGAGGUAGGCGGAAUGAGACAAGUAGCGGUGAAAUGCAUAGAUAUGUCUCAGAACUCCGAUUGCGAAGGCAGCUUACUAAGUCGUGAUUGACGCUGAUGCACGAAAGCGUGGGGAUCAA